CCGCCCACUUCGCCCACCGCCUCAAGUCGUCAGUUCUGUCUCGCCUCGCCUUCCUGUUGCGGUCUUCUGCGUCUCAGUCUCCAACUUUCGAGUUUUCUUGCCUUUUUUUGCUCUGAGUUGAGUCCCUACCGGGUCCUUUAGAUCCGCGGUCACGGGGGACGGUGGAGUUUAGAACCUGUUACCCAUCUCUGAACCAAGAAAACAUUGGCAAGGAAAAUGGAAUUGCUGUGAUUGAUUUAGUUAAUCUAAGCCAACCACUGGCAGCCCGCCUAUAUGACAGCUAACCUUAAGGGAGGAAACUGAUGCUUAAAGAAGUUAAUUAUCCAACAUCAUAAAACUACAUUACUCACAAUAGCAAAGACUUGGAACCAACCCUAAUGCCCAUCGAUGAUAGAAUGGAUAAAGAAAAUGUGAAGAUAUACACCAUGGAAUAUUAUGCAACCACAAAAAAUGAGUUCAUGUCCUUUGCAGGGACAUGGAUUAAGCUGGAAACCAUCAUUCUCAGCAAACUAAUACAGGAACAGAAAACCAAACACCA